UAAGGCCCCAGUGAAAUCGUUCUUUCCUUUUUUCAAAAUUAAGUUAGCAUUAAGGACAUCAAUAAACUGAUCCUCCUAUGCAGAGACAAAAUUCCCAUUUCGAAGAUGUACAGUAUGUGUUCAAAACUGAUAGUCUGGCACAUGCGCUCAAAAAAAAUCUAGAAUUUCCAUGACAUCAUGCUACACUUCAGCCUCUUUUCACAGUUCUUGUCCAAUCAAAUCAGCUUUAGAAUCCGAAGAGUCCCGCCCCUUCACUAUGAAAGCUGCGCUAGCGGCGCCUCAUAUCAGCCACUUCUUCGCUCAUUUAUUAUGUCCUACAUGGUGAUGGACGCAUAGUGCACUAGAUGGGAGAUAGGGAAUGAUCAAGAUAAUGUCUACACAUUAACAUUCAAGUCUUAAUUUCACAUAGUGUCACAUGAGCAGUUGCACGUGAUUGUCCUCCGGUUCAGAGACAUGAUAGCCCCGAGCUGAUCACAUUCGUUGAUCAUACAUGCAAAUCCGAUAAGAAAUCUAAAUGAUUUUGACCCACUUCAACUCUACACAGUAUGUUGUAUGUUAAGGCUCUAUGAAAGAGAUCGGACAUCAUAGCCUCGGUGAGUGAAGGAGAAGACAAAUGCCAGCAUCGCUCACCAAUGUAAAUAACAGGGUUCAAAUGACACAUUAUCAAUGAUCUUCCUAUUCUAUUCUAUAGACCUUUACACCGUUGUGGCUCACACUGUUAAAUGCUGCUUUGCCCUAAAUGAAACAGUAUUGGUUAUUUUAAAAGGGGGCGGGGCUACUCAAUAUGUAUCGCACUCUCUGUUUUUCAGUUGAGAUCAUGUCCACACAUCAAAUAAUGCUGCGCCUUCAAAGGCAUUUCACUGGGACUUUAAAGGGUUCAAUGUCUGAAUGUUCAUGAAGUUAUCAAUGAACUGGGCUUAAAUGGCUCAUAUAAUUUUAUUGUGUGUGUAUUAUUAUGGGCUAAACACAAAUUUUAAGAUGAGAGAGACAAACGUUGUAGAUAUUGCGAUGAAAACCUAUGGUGCAGUGCAAUUGGUUGAAACACUUGAUGAGCAAGGCUCAUCCUUUAGGGAAGUAUCAAGAUGCAUCACACUCAUAUUCUAUUUAAAGACUGUGACAAUUAAACUAAAACCUCUACAAUUUAUACUGUACAUCACCCCCCUCUCACACACACACAUUUCACAAAAGAAAACAGCCCCUGAGGUCUUGAGCUGACAGCUCUUCGAAUGAUAAUCAUAAAAAGAGAUGCUAAAAAACAGUUGGCCACCGUAUGGCAGCUCUAACUAUACCCCAUAAUACUCUCCAAGAUUUGAGGUCCUUCCACAGAAAUAACAGCCUGCUCAGCUAGUUACGUUCACUUUCUAUCAUGCAUCACGGAUGAUGAACGACUUAACAAAUAAUUCCUUAAUGCAAUGGAUGAGAGCCCUCCAGAUCCUGCCAUCAUAAAGAAGAAUGUGAAGUAAAAGACAUGAGAUGCAACCUGGCAGCGCACUUGCUGAAGAAUAGUCCCUCUCGCUCUCACACAUACUCUCUCGCUCUCACACAUACUCUCUCGCUGUCUCUCUGACAGUGUCAUAACUCUCAGCAGCUUGUAAAAACAUCUGAAAUCUCUCCGGUGCUGUUUAAACCCCUCACGAGAAGACUUACAGACUCAAAAGACCCCCUGCCAGCAGAAAAAUUGUGAGAGAGUUAGAUGUACCAACAUGAGGUUUUGACAGGGGUGGAACAAUACGUUCGAACAGGUUACUCUACCAACUCCACAGCAUACAGUAACAAACUCCCAAAACGUCAUCAUACAGAAAUAUAUCAACAUUUUCAUGACGAAAGGACAUAUACACACUAAACAGUUAUGUUUAUAUAUACAGUUCAACAUUCAUAAAAGAGUAAAGAAUGAUACAAACAUCAAUACAAGUCAAUAUUAAAGAAGUGUUUCAAUGGGGGCAUUCCCUGUGUUGAGGGAACUUAUGACCUACAAGUCUUGCCAAGAACACACAAUUAUGACGCGACCACUACGUAAGCUCAAUAACAAUAUAUAUAUAAUAUACUGAGAAGUGAUAACUGAAUGUAAAGGCAUGUGCAUACAUCCGUGCCUGUUAUUCUUUGACGAUAAUGUUACUGUGUUUCUGACUCUUGGCCUCGAGCGUUUUCUCUGCGGGUAGAAAUGCGCUGCUGCCAUUCACAAUGAACACGCGACUCGUUUGCGCAUUUUAACGCGUAUUUCUCCUCAGUUUUUACCUCAUUUUACGUUAUUCACGACUCAUAUAUUACCUUCUGAUGUUCAAGUAGAUGAAUAUCUGCAAUUCACUGACUAAACAUCGCAUGCGUGAUGUCAGCGUUUGAAGAUCAACAAAAUGAUCACAAUAGCAACCACUCGUGUCCAAAAUAAACAACGUUAUCUCUUACCAGUACACAAGCUUGUUAUGAAGAAUCGCGGGGGUCUUAUCCGACGCGCAGUUGAUGCACCACAUUGUUGCGGGAAACGGGUCCGGAUGCGCAAGCGCUAUUUCAUCCGUUCGUUAAUUUGGCUCGAGCGCUGACAGCGGUCCUCGCGGCGCGCGAGAGGAGCGGGAAUCGCUUUAAAUGGCAUGAUUUGCGAUUUCAUGUUCCGUCAUUAGCGAGGAGAUGAUGGGAAGCGUCGAGCCCCCCAAAAUCCCACCACUAAAACCUCUACCCUCCUCCUCCUCCCUCUCUCCAUCUCUCUCCUCAGACCUCGAUUCUUUAGACUCGUGCAGCAAGCGUGACACAGCAGUCAGAGCGCGAAAACACUUCUGCCAGGCGAGAUUGGCAAACCGCCUUCUGAUCGCGGCGCGUGAUCCACACCUCGGGCAUCAUCUGACAGGAUCUGUUCGGUGCCAUUAGAUCAAUCAGCACGUCAUGUGACCUGAUCUCGGUUCGUCGCGCGGUCCAAUGGAACCAUGUGGCGUCAAUCUGGUUGUCAGCGCGCAAUUAAAGGUCUGCGCAGAUCUGUUUUCAUUAAGCUACAGUACUUUCCUAGGCAAACAAGACCUCUCUUCGAUUGCUUUCUGUCCUGACAGUGUAAUUUCCUCGCAGAUCUUACAUUAACAUGCCAUGCUUUUGAUUAUUUUACUUUCCACGUUGUGAAAGUCGUCUUUUCUGAUGUUUUGAACAACUCAUGAUGAUGGCUAAGGCAACUUUCCCUUCAUUUUUCACAGGGACGCCAAACAGUGGAGUUUGUGUUCUCUUCUCCCUCUUUCUUUCCCUGGCCCCAGGACAGCUUUAUAUAAUUCAUUAUCUUCCACAUUAGCCACCAUUUUGAUGCCCAUGUUUGUCAUUUG